rnacentral:lncRNA from 1 species
GGUUUGUACUCGCUUUUAUUAAAUGCUCUGUCAAAUUAAAAAUUAUAUUUAAACUUUAGUUAUUUAGUUCAUUGUUUCAAGCAUUAUUUAUUUCAUUUGGUUCUUCAAUUAAAUAAAUUGAACUAAAUUCAAAUCUCCUUUUGUCUGUUACAGGUCCUGCGACAUUGACAGUCAUCAUAUUAGUUGGUUUAUUAUUAGUAAUAUGUGCUUUGCUUGUGAUCAUUGGCAUCAGGACGAAGGCUGCUCACUGCUCCUCACCUAAGAGGCAGAGCACCGGAGGCACCAGCUCAGCUGCUCUCAGCCACUUUGAGUCAAGCACAGAAGCAAAUGAGCUAAACAUCACAGAAGAGGAGGCAGUUUAUAUGAACAUCAUCCAGAUCAGACAAGCAGACGUUCUCCUUCCUACAAGUGGUGGAGACGGGGCUGUGAUUUACUCCACUGUGAUGGUGAAGAGCAAACGCAAUAAGCAGCAGCAGCAGCAGCAGCAUGAAGACGGGAAUGCUGUGAUUUACUCUAAUGUGAUGAUGAAGAGCAAAUGCAAUGAGCAGCAGCAGCAGCAGCAUGAAGACGGGAAUGCUGUGAUUUACUCCACUGUGAUGCUGUGAGGCGACUCUACAGACCUGCGUCUGACCAGCAGCUCAUACGCACUGGGAAUGGAUGCAGAAACUGAACCAUGAACGGUGGAAAACAAAGAAGAAUGUGAAUAUUCUCAAUUUAAAGCCAUGAGUACUGUGAUCCUUCAUCUGUAAUUACUGCUAGAUCUGCUGUGUCUGGGAAAUAAAUAAAUAAAUAAUAAAUAAUAAUAAAUAAAU